rnacentral:rRNA from 1 species
ACGGAGGGUGCAAGCGUUAAUCGGAAUUACUGGGCGUAAAGGGUGCGUAGGCGGUUAAGUAAGUUAUCUGUGAAAUCCCCGGGCUCAACCUGGGUAGGAAAGAUAAUACUGCUUAACUAGAGUGUGGUAGAGGAUAGUGGAAUUUCCGGUGUAGCGGUGAAAUGCGUAGAGAUCGGAAGGAACACCAGUGGCGAAGGCGGCUAUCUGGAUCAACACUGACGCUGAGGCACGAAAGCGUGGGGAGCAAACAGG